AAGAGAAGCAAUUAUGUCCUGUUUGAUCUCGGAAACUAAGCAGGGUUGGGCCUGGUUAGUACUUGGAUGGGAGACCACCUAGGAAGACCAGGUGCUGUAGGCA
rnacentral:rRNA from 1 species